rnacentral:rRNA from 1 species
AGUUAUAUCUUGUUGGAGGAGCAUGGUUUGAGAGAUUUAAAAUUUGAAGAAGCAGAAAGGUUAUAAGUUGAGUAUAUUUUAUAGAAAGAUUGUAGUUUGACUAAAGUGUAGUAGUAUUGUAAAAGAAAGAGUUAAUUAUUUUGGAAGAAAGAAAUUAUGAAGAAUUGUACCUUUUGUAUCAGGGAGAAUUAAAAUUAAAAGUUUAUUUAUUUUAAUCUCGAAACGAAAAGAGCUAAGGUUUAAAGCAUGGUUGUGUGGUAAAAUAACAUGUAAUUUUACUUUAGUAAUGAUAUUUUAGUCGAGUUCUGUAUAUCUAGUUCUCUUUGAGAGGAAUUUAAUUUCGUUUUUAUACUUUGUUAGUGUAAAAUUAAAGGUUAGGAGGGAUAAGCUUCUUAGCAGUGCUAUAAGGAAAAAGAGUUUUGUUUUUAAAUUAGGCUUAAGAGCAGCCAAAUUAAUAAAGCGUUCUAGUUAAUUUAUUGUUUAAGUAGAUUUAUAUGUUUGUUUAGUUAGUUAGGGGAGAAUAAGUUAGAGUUAAGUAGGUUUAACUGAAAUGAUUUUAUUAGUAUGUUUAUUUGUUAAAGGAUUGCAGUAAAAUAUCUGUGAAAUAUUAAUUAAUUGGGAUGUAGAUAAGGAACUCGGCAAGUAUUAUUUUUGCCUGUUUAUCAAAAACAUGUCUGUAUGGAGAAAAUAUAGAGUCUGGCCUGCCCACUGAAAGUUUUAAAGGGCCGCGGUAAUUUGACCGUGCGAAGGUAGCAUAAUCAAUAGUCUCUUAAUUGGAGGCUGGAAUGAAUGGUCGUACAAAAAAUAAUCUGUCUUGAUUGCAGAAAUAGAAUUUUACUUUUGAGUGAAAAGGCUCAAAUGUGUUAAAGGGACGAUAAGACCCUAUAAAACUUUAUAUAAUGAGGUCAAUUUUUGAAUUUAGUGUUAAAGUGAAUUGGGCUUUAUUUAUUAUGUUGGGGCGGCAAAAAUAAAAUGAGUAACUGUUUAUAAAUUAAAAUAGAUAUAUUUAGAAGAGUGAUCCUUUUUUAGGGAUUAGAAGAAAAAGUUACUUUAGGGAUAACAGCGUAAUUUUUUCUGAGAGUUCUUAUCGACGAAAGUAGUUGCGACCUCGAUGUUGAAUUAAGAUUUCCCUAAGGGGUAGAAGUUUUAGUGGUAGGUCUGUUCGACCUUUGAAAUCUUACAUGAUUUGAGUUCAAACCGGUGUGAGCCAGGUUGGUUUCUAUCUUUUAAUUUUUUGGGGGCUAUUUUAGUACGAAAGGACCGGAUAGUUGGAAUAAUUUUUUUAAGAAGAAGAAUAUUAAUUUU